rnacentral:tRNA from 1 species
GGUUGUAGCUCAGUGGUAGAGCACUUGCCUAGCACAUGUGAGGCACUGGGUUUGAUCCUCAGCAGCACA